GAUGAACGCUGGCGGCGUGCCUAAUACAUGCAAGUCGAGCGAACAGAUAAGGAGCUUGCUCCUUUGACGUUAACGGCGGACGGGUGAGUAACACGUGGGUAACCUACCUAUAAGACUGGGAUAACUUCGGGAAACCGGAGCUAAUACCGGAUAACAUUUGGAACCGCAUGGUUCUAAAGUGAAAGAUGGUUUUGCUAUCACUUAUAGAUGGACCCGCGCCGUAUUAGCUAGUUGGUAAGGUAACGGCUUACCAAGGCGACGAUACGUAGCCGACCUGAGAGGGUGAUCGGCCACACUGGAACUGAGACACGGUCCAGACUCCUACGGGAGGCAGCAGUAGGGAAUCUUCCGCAAUAGGCGAAAGCCUGACGGAGCAACGCCGCGUGAGUGAUGAAGGGUUUCGGCUCGUAAAACUCUGUUAUUAGGGAAGAACAAAUGUGUAAGUAACUGUGCACGUCUUGACGGUACCUAAUCAGAAAGCCACGGCUAACUACGUG
rnacentral:rRNA from 1 species